CCUGAGGCAGGUGGCAGGAGGAGACCAGGCUGUAAAGGCCACCAGGCCAGAGUCACCAGCUCAGAGGAAGCAGGCGGCCCUCUGGGGGCUGGGGGGAAGCCUGAAAGGGGGCAGUGGGUUCAGGAGGGGGAGGAGAGGGCUGAGACCAAGGCCUGGGAGACCUGACCCUUUCCCCCAGAGGCCUGGUGGGGCCUAGUGGCCUCCCAGCCAGGCAGUGGCAAUGGCUGGUAUUGCCAUGGCUUCCUGUAGCAAAAUGACCCCCAGGUUCCCUGUGAAAUCUCCUUGGGGCCAACCUGAUUCCCACGUGGCCAACACUGUUUUCAUUUGGUUUUGUAUUCUAAAGUUCUUCCCGGUUUUAGUACUGCAUGUUCCAUGUUCUAAGGACCUUCCCUGACCCUGACAUUCUAUGUUCGAAAGUCCAGCUCUGAUGUCCUAUGUUCUAAGCUCUGAUAUUCUAUGCUCAAAGGUCCCUUCCAGUUCUCAUAUUCUGUGUUCUAAGGCAUCUUCCAGCUCUGAUGUUCUGUGUGCUGAGUAGAAAGAAAGGUGAUCUGAAAGAAGGUGUUAGCAGCUGGGCAGCAUGGGGCAGCUCUCUUGCACAAGGGGGACUUUGAGUUUGGAAGGAAGCCAUGGAAACUAAAAAGCAGCCGUGAGAAGACAGAACGUUCCAGACUUGGGGGUGAGAGUAGGGGUGGGGGAGACAGCCAGCACAAAAGGAUAGAGAUGAGAGAGGGAGUGUUCUAGAUGACAAAAAGCAGGCUGGCCAGGGUUUUGGGAGCGUGGAGGGGCACAGAACAUGGGAAGGCUGGAAAGGUUCUGAGGGACUGGACCGUGCAGGCAUCUCAGGAGGUUGAGAGAAUGCAGAGGAAGCAGGAACUUCACCUUGAUAAGGACUCCAGGGCACGAUGCCCUUGGCCCCCAGGCCCUUCCUAGGGGAAACAGCAGCAGCUUCUCGGUGUAACUGGGGCCCCAGCCUAGAUCACAGGCACCAACAAGAAACAAGACUUUCUACUUGAUUCUGGGGAUUCAAAGGUAAAGAAUAACACACCCCCUUGGCCUCAAAGAGCGUAAGGUCUAGUCUGGGUGGGGAAUGGGGGUGGGCCAUGCACACCAAGAAGAAAUUCCAAAAAGAAGAUCAUUGAGUUAGAGCUUGGCCUUUUAAUCCAAGUGCUCCAUUUUAGAGAUGAGGAAACUGAGACUCAGAGAGGCGAUAAUGAUUGGCCCAUAGUUACACAACUAUUAAGUGAUGAAGCAGGAAAAUCUUCCUGACCCCAAGUUUAGCUUUCUUAGACACUCUGCCAGGUUGCCUAUCCAAAAUAUUAGAAAGUAUGCCCAGAACUUCUCUUCACACACAAACACCCCAUAGUUAAAUGAGUUUGCCCCCAAGUCAGAAGCCUUUCUUCCUUCUUUUCCACUUUACCUGGAGCUCUUCUGAAGACUGAAGCCCUUCUAGAAACCAGAACCCCAGGCUAGGGAAUUUCCAAAAUUCAGAGAAGAGUAGGCACAGGAGUCAGUGCUACUGAGGAGGUGGGUCUUGGGUUCUACCGGAUAAUUCAAUUUGGCAAAUCUCCAGAGGUAGAGUGAUAAUGGGAACAGAGCAUAUGCGGCUUCUCCCCAAAGGGAAGGGGUGAAGGGGAUAGCAGCAGGUUCUCUCACCAGCCCAAGAGAUGGUGUGGGGCACUUGCCACUCCUAGAGGUCUGUCCCUGUGGCACCAUCUCCCAGAUCUGCUUUCACCUUCACCUCCAACACCCUUGGGGUCAAAGGUCAGACUUAACCUGUACACACCUGUACCCAAGAGCUACCCCACUUCUGAGCUGUAACCAACCUGCCCCCCAACUGUUUUUGCCACAGGUGAAAAUAUUUUUAAAGCAUUGCGCUGGACUGGAGGAGAGGACAGAGUGAGUAAGAUGUGUUGCCUGACCCCUUGGAACUUUCAAAUACAAAGAAUGACGGGCCCAAAUAAUAAUAAUGUGCCAUAUUGCACGUCAGUCCACAAGAGAACACAAAACCUUUCUUGGGCUUUCGUAGUCAGAGAAAUCAUCUUAUUCUCCCAGGAAGUAUUUGAUGAAGAGUUAGGUGACCAAGAUCUUGUCCCAGCUCUCACUCAGAUAGCAGUCAGUGUAACUUUGGGCAAGCUACUUCAUCUACUGGGACAUGUUUCCUUAGCUGGAAAUUAAGAAGGUCGGGCUAGAUGACUCCUAAGGUCCCCAGGAUGAUGUGGAAAAUUCCCUGGCUCCAGAGUCAGAGAAUCCAGGCUCAAAUCCCAUUUCUGAUGCUUACAGUCUGUAUGACCUUCCUGGGCCUCAUUUUCUUUGUCUGUAAAAUGAGGGAGUUGGUGACUUCUGUGAGCUCCCCUCAACUCUGAGUCUAUGAUCAUAGUAUUUUAUGAGAGAGGCAAGCAAGUGUUAUAUGAGCCGUGAGUGCGGGUGAAAGAUCAUGGGGGUGUGGCUGGGGGAGGGAAAUCAAAGAAGCUUGUUUCUGAGCUGUUCUAAAGGAUGGGCAGGGAUUCAGCAGGCAGGGAGAAGGCAUUCCAGGGACAGAGAACAGCAUGGGCAAAAAUAUGGAGGUGGGAAAGCAAGAGAUGUGAACUGGGCUAGGUGAGUAGCCCAGUUUGGCUAGACUGAGAAUCAAGGUCAUCUAGCAUGGGGCUAAUUAAGGCCAGAAAGGAUAAAUCAGGCCCAUGUUAUGGAGAGCAUGAGAGUUCGGACUUUACUUGGUAGGCAAUAAAGAGCUACUGAAGGUUUUUGAGUGGAGGAGUACUGUAGCUAGCUCUACAUGUAAGAAAGAGUAGGACAAGAAUAUAAAAUUUAACUUAGAAUUUUUUUUAAAAGAAAGAAUACAAGGUUAGCCUGGCAGCAACAUGAAAGAUGGAUUGAAGGGGAAAAGAAAGCAAAGGAAAGGAGAUCUACUAGAAACUUAUUUCAACAGCCUAUGUGGGUGGUGAUAAGAACCUGAACUAGAGUUGCGACCAGGGAAAAUGGAGAAGAGAGGAAAGAGGUGACAAAAUUUAUAGAAGUAGAACGAAAAGAACUGGGUAAGGAGAUGGGACAAGGAAAGAAGAUGGAGAAA